GAGUUUGAUCAUGGCUCAGAUUGAACGCUGGCGGCAGGCCUAACACAUGCAAGUCGAACGGUAACAGGAAGCAGCUUGCUGCUUCGCUGACGAGUGGCGGACGGGUGAGUAAUGUCUGGGAAGCUGCCUGAUGGAGGGGGAUAACUACUGGAAACGGUAGCUAAUACCGCAUAAUGUCGCAAGACCAAAGAGGGGGACCUUCGGGCCUCUUGCCAUCGGAUGUGCCCAGAUGGGAUUAGCUUGUUGGUGGGGUAACGGCUCACCAAGGCGACGAUCCCUAGCUGGUCUGAGAGGAUGACCAGCCACACUGGAACUGAGACACGGUCCAGACUCCUACGGGAGGCAGCAGUGGGGAAUAUUGCACAAUGGGCGCAAGCCUGAUGCAGCCAUGCCGCGUGUAUGAAGAAGGCCUUCGGGUUGUAAAGUACUUUCAGCGGGGAGGAAGGGAGUAAAGUUAAUACCUUUGCUCAUUGACGUUACCCGCAGAAGAAGCACCGGCUAACUCCGUGCCAGCAGCCGCGGUAAUACGGAGGGUGCAAGCGUUAAUCGGAAUUACUGGGCGUAAAGCGCACGCAGGCGGUUUGUUAAGUCAGAUGUGAAAUCCCCGGGCUCAACCUGGGAACUGCAUCUGAUACUGGCAAGCUUGAGUCUCGUAGAGGGGGGUAGAAUUCCAGGUGUAGCGGUGAAAUGCGUAGAGAUCUGGAGGAAUACCGGUGGCGAAGGCGGCCCCCUGGACGAAGACUGACGCUCAGGUGCGAAAGCGUGGGGAGCAAACAGGAUUAGAUACCCUGGUAGUCCACGCCGUAAACGAUGUCGACUUGGAGGUUGUGCCCUUGAGGCGUGGCUUCCGGAGCUAACGCGUUAAGUCGACCGCCUGGGGAGUACGGCCGCAAGGUUAAAACUCAAAUGAAUUGACGGGGGCCCGCACAAGCGGUGGAGCAUGUGGUUUAACUCGAUGCAACGCGAAGAGCCUUACCUGGUCUUGACAUCCACGGAAGUUUUCAGAGAUGAGAAUGUGCCUUCGGGAACCGUGAGACAGGUGCUGCAUGGCUGUCGUCAGCUCGUGUUGUGAAAUGUUGGGUUAAGUCCCGCAACGAGCGCAACCCUUAUCCUUUGUUGCCAGCGGUCCGGCCGGGAACUCAAAGGAGACUGCCAGUGAUAAACUGGAGGAAGGUGGGGAUGACGUCAAGUCAUCAUGGCCCUUACGACCAGGGCUACACACGUGCUACAAUGGCGCAUACAAAGAGAAGCGACCUCGCGAGAGCAAGCGGACCUCAUAAAGUGCGUCGUAGUCCGGAUUGGAGUCUGCAACUCGACUCCAUGAAGUCGGAAUCGCUAGUAAUCGUGGAUCAGAAUGCCACGGUGAAUACGUUCCCGGGCCUUGUACACACCGCCCGUCACACCAUGGGAGUGGGUUGCAAAAGAAGUAGGUAGCUUAACCUUCGGGAGGGCGCUUACCACUUUGUGAUUCAUGACUGGGGUGAAGUCGUAACAAGGUA
rnacentral:rRNA from 1 species